CACGUAGGCACCAAGCGUUGUCCGGAAUCAUUGGGCGUAAAGAGCGUGUAGGCGGUCCGGUAAGUCAGCUGUGAAAGUCAAGGGCUCAACCCUUGAAAGCCGGUUGAUACUGUCGGGCUAGAGUCCGGAAGAGGCGAGUGGAAUUCCCGGUGUAGCGGUGAAAUGCGCAGAUAUCGGGAGGAAUACCAGUGGCGAAAGCGACACCCUGGCAUUAGCCUGACGCUCAUGUGCGAAGGCGUGGGGAGCGAACGGGAUUGAGAAACCCUUGAUAGUCCAGGUCACCAACGAU
rnacentral:rRNA from 1 species